rnacentral:lncRNA from 1 species
UACUAGUUAGUGUACGAUUUAAUAUUUGUUCACUAUAAUGCUCUUUUAUGUUCAUAGAAUCUUAAAAAUUAUUCACCUAGUUAUUAUAUUUUAUACCUCAUCAUGCUUAUUCGCGAAUUAUUUUUCACCAUGCUUAUGUGAUGAAUCACGCUACUCUUGGGACUUAUUCAAAAUAAAGUACCAUUUUGUUUAGAUCAGAAUCAACAUCACAACGUGUUCUUAAGCAUUUUUCGCAAUUAUAGUAAAAUUACUGGACUCUAACACCAAGUGUCAUGCCAAUCUGAGUUUAUUGAGCUGUGACUCAAGUGAAAAUCGUAAGAAAGAAAAAUAGAAAUGUGUUAAUGUGUAUAAAAAGUGUCAGGAGUAGAUCAUCCUUCGCCGUCACAAUGCCGGUCUUUCCGUGAUUUUCCCGGUUCAGAUUGCAUCAGAAACAGCACCCUUAAAGGAGAUUUUUCCACAAAAAAAGCUGCCGCAGGAAGCGGUGAAUGGAGUUCAUUAUCCGGGAGACCUCAUCCAUUCCGGCCAUCGUGAGCAAGACGGAUUUGCGGCAAAUAUGCUGGAAAUGGUGGAUUCUGACCAAAUCAGAACAGGAACAGAUUGGCAGCAGCAAUGGGUAGCACAUCAGAUAGAACUUUAAAUAAAUGCGUUACAUGGUAAAAUCACAUUCUCACAUUUUUCUGUUCUUUGUUUACUUUAAUUAAAGAAAAAUGGUUUAUUUUAUUCAUAGCACAGAAUUUUAGGAUUAUAAGCCUUUAAUGCAUAAUUUCUGAAUAAUCAUUUAUCAAUAUAAAACCCGUUUAUGCUAGCCAAGAUUAAAACGCUAAAAUGCAUAUCACUGAGUAAAUAGACCGAAUAUGGUUUUAGAAUGGUAUCUAAGCCAUCUAGUAUAAUAUUUUCUUAGCGUGUACACGGAGUCUGUUAGUAUGCAAUAAAGAAAACGAAUAGAUUUUUAAAGGGCCAACCUGUUUUGCGUUGCCGAAGCCUCGAUGGAAGGUAUGGUAACGUUGAUUUUCUCUCCCCUUCAUUCGCAUUGCAUUAUAACGCAAACGUAAUAAUGACGUCAUGCAAACCGAAUUGAAGAACAUUCAAAGUGUGAAUGCAAAGGCAACAUAAAAUCAGCACACCUAUUUUUCGGCUCCUUUGCUUUCAGCCAUCUGUCAAACUCUUGUUUUGAUUUCGUUUCUGCGCCGUAAAGUUCGGAGCGGCAUCUCGGCAGUGAUUAGGUUUUAGGUUCCUGCUCAAAAAUCUUACCGUUUAUUCCAGCUCAUCAGAUGGAGGCAAACGAAGAAAUGAUAGACGACUGCGAGGCGAGUUUUUCUGGUCAGUUGCGGGGUUCGAAUGGUCCCACGCUUGGUGCAUAAAUGGAUGAGUCACUCGAUCUCUGUGUCCAUCGCCAUUCAGUUCUCUUUUGACUUCCAACAGAUGCUAGUUCUCUGGUUGUGCUACGUGACUGCACCAACGCUAUGAGGGAAGACCAGCUUGAUGAAUUCUUUGUUUCUCCGCCAACUCCAAAGCGCAACCCAACGCAUAGAAAUUAUGUCAAUCGCACACAUAUCGUCUUGACGGCUGCCGAAAGGCUGGAAGAAAUGCGGCUUCUUGAAGAAAAAAAAAGCAACAAACAGAAUUUAAGAAGAAAAAAGCGGAAAUGCGUGAAAUUCGUAAGAAAGAAAAAGAGAAGGAGGCAGAAGAAAGGAAGAAGAUGAAGUUGUUGAGGGAAAAGGAGAAACAACUGAUGAUUCAGCUGAAUAAAGAGAAAGGAUUGAAAUUGAUUAUUGAGCAACAAAUGCUGAAGGAACUCGUAGAUCGAGAUAAGACAACACAGAUACAAGUAAAAACGUUGUUUCAGAAAUAAUAAACAUUACAAAUAAUAAAAAAUCAGAAAAGAAAAACUAGCAAAAUGAUAAUUCGAACAUAAACUAAUGUGAACAUUCAUUUUUAAGA